rnacentral:rRNA from 1 species
GAUGAACGCUGGCGGCGUGCCUAAUACAUGCAAGUCGAGCGAACGGACGAGAAGCUUGCUUCUCUGAUGUUAGCGGCGGACGGGUGAGUAACACGUGGAUAACCUACCUAUAAGACUGGGAUAACUUCGGGAAACCGGAGCUAAUACCGGAUAAUAUUUUGAACCGCAUGGUUCAAUAGUGAAAGACGGUUUUGCUGUCACUUAUAGAUGGAUCCGCGCUGCAUUAGCUAGUUGGUAAGGUAACGGCUUACCAAGGCAACGAUGCAUAUCCGACCUGAGAGGGUGAUCCGCCAACAUGGAACUGAGAACAGGUACCGAAUCCUACGGGAGGCAGCAGUAGGGAAUCUUCCGCAAUGGGCGAAAGCCUGACGGAGCAACGCCGCGUGAGUGAUGAAGGUCUUCGGAUCGUAAAACUCUGUUAUUAGGGAAGAACAAAUGUGUAAGUAACUGUGCACAUCUUGACGGUACCUAAUCAGAAAGCCACGGCUAACUACGUG